UACGUAGGGGGCGAGCGUUGUCCGGAUUUAUUGGGCGUAAAGAGCGUGUAGGCGGCCAGGUAGGUCUGCUGUGAAAACUCGAGGCUCAACCUCGAGACGUCGGCGGAAACCAUCUGGCUAGAGUCCGGAAGAGGAGAGUGGAAUUCCUGGUGUAGCGGUGAAAUGCGCAGAUAUCAGGAAGAACACCCGUGGCGAAGGCGGCUCUCUGGGACGGCACUGACGCUGAGACGCGAAAGCGUGGGGAGCAAACAGG
rnacentral:rRNA from 1 species